AAUGAACGUUGGCGGCGUGGAUUAGGCAUGCAAGUCGAGCGCGAACCCCGCAAGGGGUGAAAGCGGCGAAAGGGAGAGUAACGCGUGGGUAUCUGCCCUCGGGACUGGGAUAGCUGCGGGAAACUGCAGGUAAUACCAGAUGACGUCCCCGGACCAAAGGUGUGAUUCCGCCUGAGGAUGAGCCCGCGUCCUAUUAGCUAGUUGGUAGGGUAAUGGCCUACCAAGGCAAUGAUGGGUACUGGGUGUGAGAGCACGACCCAGCUCACUGGGACUGGGACACUGCCCAGGCACCUACGGGUGGCUGCAGUCGAGAAUCUUCGGCAAUGGGCGAAAGCCUGACCGAGCGACGCCGCGUGUGGGAUGAAGGCCUUCGGGUUGUAAACCGCUGUCAGAGGGGAGGAAUGGGCGGAGGGUAAUCUCUUCGUUUUGACCUAUCCUCAGAGGAAGUACGGGCUAAGUUCGUGCCAGCAGCCGCCGUAA
rnacentral:rRNA from 1 species